rnacentral:misc_RNA from 1 species
GCAACUGAGUGCUAAUCAAAGCAUUUUCCAUUGGAUACUUACAGAACGAAAUAAUUCAAUGGACUAAAAAUGAAAUUUUAUUAGGAGGGUAAGUACAGAGAUCAAAAUAUGGAGGAUUAGGUAUCCUCCUAUAAAGUGAGACACAAAACACAGUAAACACAAAACAAAAGAAAGUAGAUUAUUCAAUCUAGUUGAAUACUCGUGGACAAUUAGACACUCAAGCCCAUA